rnacentral:rRNA from 1 species
AUUGAACGCUGGCGGCAGGCCUAACACAUGCAAGUCGAACGAGUGGCGGACGGGUGAGUAAUGUCUGGGAAACUGCCUGAUGGAGGGGGAUCACUACUGGAAACGGUAGCUAAUACCGCCUACCAUCGGAUUUUCCCAGAUGGGAUUAGCUAGUAGGGGGGGGAAAGGCUCACCUAGGCGACGAUCCCUAGCUGGUCUGAGAGGAGGACCAGCAAUAAGGGAACUGAGAAACGGUCCAGAAGCCUACGGGAGGCAGCAGUGGGGAAGAUUGCACAAUGGGCGCAAGACUGAUGCAGCCAUGCCGCGUGUAUGAAGAAGGCCUUAGGGUUGUAAAGUACUUUCAGCGGGGAGGCGUUACCCGCAGAAGAAGCACCGGCUAACUCCGUGCCAGCAGCCGCGGUAAUUC